GGCCUCAUGGUCAAGCGGUUAAGACGUCGCCCUCUCACGGCGAAAUCAGCGGUUCGAUUCCGCUUGGGGCUACCA
rnacentral:tRNA from 1 species